rnacentral:rRNA from 1 species
GAUGAACGCUGGCGGCGUGCUUAACACAUGCAAGUCGAACGGAGUGCCUUAGAAAGAGGAUUCGUCCAAUUGAUAAGGUUACUUAGUGGCGGACGGGUGAGUAACGCGUGAGGAACCUGCCUCGGAGUGGGGGAUAACAGACCGAAAGGUCUGCUAAUACCGCAUGAUGCAGUUGGACCGCAUGGUCCUGACUGCCAAAGAUUUAUCGCUCUGAGAUGGCCUCGCGUCUGAUUAGCUUGUUGGCGGGGUAAUGGCCCACCAAGGCGACGAUCAGUAGCCGGACUGAGAGGUUGGCCGGCCACAUUGGGACUGAGACACGGCCCAGACUCCUACGGGAGGCAGCAGUGGGGAAUAUUGGGCAAUGGGCGCAAGCCUGACCCAGCAACGCCGCGUGAAGGAAGAAGGCUUUCGGGUUGUAAACUUCUUUUCUCAGGGACGAACAAAUGACGGUACCUGAGGAAUAAG